rnacentral:rRNA from 1 species
UUAAAUUGAAGAGUUUGAUCAUGGCUCAGAUUGAACGCUGGCGGCAGGCCUAACACAUGCAAGUCGAGCGGAAACGAGUUGUCUGAACCUUCGGGGAACGAUAACGGCGUCGAGCGGCGGACGGGUGAGUAAUGCCUAGGAAAUUGCCCUGAUGUGGGGGAUAACCAUUGGAAACGAUGGCUAAU